GGUACCAUAGUAAAGUGGUUAUACACCAGUCUGCAACACUGUUCACUCGGGUUCGAGUCCCGAUGGUACCUCCA
rnacentral:tRNA from 1 species